rnacentral:lncRNA from 1 species
CCCAACGCCCCCCUUGAUCCACAUUGUCCCCAAUGUCCCCAGUGCCCCCAUUGCCCCCAUUGACCCCAAUGUCCCCAUUGUCCCCAACACCCCCGUUGUCCACACUGACCCCAACACCCCCAACGUGCCCAAUGUCCCCAAUGCCCCCAUUGACCCCAACGCCCCCAUUGUCCCCAAUGUCCCCAAUGCCCCCAUUGACCCCAAUGUACCCAAUGCCCCAAUGAUCCCCAUUGACCCCAUUGUCCCCAUUGUCUCCAUUGUCCCCAAUGCCCCCAUUGACCCCAUUGUCCCCAACACUCUCAUUGUCCCCAACACUCUCAUUGUCCCCAACGCCCCCAUUUGUCCCCAUUGUCCCCAACGCCCCCAUUGUCCCCAAUGCCCCCAUUGUCCCCAUGUCCCUACCGGGCAGUGUGAGCAGUGACUGCAGUGGGACACACGAUGUCACCCCCGCUGGCGUCGGUGACACAAUCGCUCCACAGCCCGCGGGUGUUGGUGACAGACGCCACCACCGUCACCUGCCCCCCCCCCACCCCCCAGGCACUGUGGGGCAGAGAGGAAACCAACAGCGCCCACCCCACAGCGCCCAGGGCCACCCCCAGGGCCACCCCCCAGGUGACGGGGGGGGACAUGGGGACAACGGUGGGGACGGAGGGGCGGUAUGGGGGCAGAGGGGGAGAUUUGGGGUCAGGGGUGGGGAUGGAGGGAUAAUAUGGGGGCAGAGGGGGAGAUUUGGGGUCAGGGGUGGGGAUGGAGGGAUAAUAUGGGGGCAGAGGGGGAGAUUUGGGGUCAAAGGGACAAAUUUGGGGUCAGGGGAUGGGGACUGAGGGACAAUAUGGGGUCAGGGAUGGGGAUGGAGGGACAGAUUUGGGGUCAAAGGGACAAAUUUGGGGUCAGGGGUGGGGAUGGGGGGAUAAUAUGGGGGCAGAGGGGGAAAUUUGGGGUCAGGAAUGGGGAUGGAGGGGCAAAAUUGGGGCCAAAGGGGCAAAUUUGGGGUGAGGGGUGGGGAAAGAGGGAGAAAUUUGGGGUCAAAGGGGCAAAUGUGGGGUCAGGGAUGGGGACAAAGUUGGGGACAGAUAUGGGGUCAGGAAUGGGGUCAGGAAUGGGGUCAGGAGGACUCACGGUCCCGCAGCGGUGGUGGCACUGCGGGCUGCGGUGCCUUUAUGGGGUGGGGGUGGGGACAAAGGGGUGGGGACAAAAGGGGGGACGACAGGGGGGGGGGAUGACUGUGGGGUCUGUGGGGUGGCCAUGGGGUCUAUGGGGCGACAAUGGCCUCCAUGGGGUGACAAUGGGUUCAAUGGGGUGAUAAUAGGUUCUAUGGGUUAACAAUGGGCUCUAUGGGGUGACAGUGGGCUCUAUGGGGUGAUGAUGGGCUCUAUGGGGUAACAAUAGGUUCUUUGGGGUGAUAAAGGGCUCUAUGGGGUGAUAAUAGGUUCUAUGAGGUGAUAAUGGGCUCUAUGGAGUAACAAUGGGUUCUAUGGGAUAACAAUGGCCUCUAUGGGGUAACAAUGGGCUCUAUGGGGUGCUAAUAGGUUCUAUGGGGCGCUGAUAGGUUCUAUGGGGCGGCGAUGCACUCCGUGUGCCGACAAUGCCCUCCAUGGGGUCCCCCUUCCAUCCCCCCCCCCCAUCCCAUCCCAUCCCCUUCCUGUAGGGCCGCCCCUCCCUUCCUCCCCCCCCCCCCCCCCGACGUCCCCUUCCUGUUGACGCCGCUCUGACGGUGACAGCAAAGGGACAAUGGGGACAAUGAUGGGACCCCACAGCCGCCACCACCCCCCACAUGAUGAUGUCCCCCC